CUGGGUUUAAACAUCCCUGAAAGUGUUGGGAAGCAGCAGAGAAGAUCAAAAAGGAAUUGUCAAGGCUCUGAGAAGCCUGUGGAAUUAAUUUAGAGAGCUCCCCUCGGACAAAACAGUGUCAGUGCCUGAAGAGGGGAGCUUCUGGAAGACUUCUCUUCCAGAGCAACAAGGACCAUCAUUUCCUUUGCAUGGAGAAUAUGCUUUCCAUAAUGAGAGCCUGAGGAUAUGUAACUAUAAGAAAGGUCCGUAUGUUCUGGAAAAUUCUCUAAUUUUUAAGUUUAACCUUCUGGUUUUAAAAUAAGGUUGGAAUUAGUAUCUCUUAGGAUCGGCAUCAGUGAGAUUAAUUUUUCAUCAGAAUCCUCCCUUUUCAGAACGAAACAUUGAUGUUAUUAGAACAUGGCUCCAAAGGAUUUUGGAGAUAUUAAUUCCUGCCCUGAUGAAGAAACUGUUGUGAAGAAAUGCUAAACAUGAAUUUCCCUCUUUUUCGGUACUGGGCCAAGUCUUUACUCUUUGAAGAAGUCAAUAAAACCACUUCAAAGUACCUCUGCCUCACACAAUGUUAUUUUCGGGAAUUGCUUAAAGGUAAACAGUAACAUAACUUGGUGCUAUAAGGUGAGUAAUUAAGAAAUGAGCAAAGAGAUGAAUUAACAUGCUGUGCAUGAAAUUAUCAUUCUGAUAAUUGUUUUGUUGUAAUUACAGCUAGUUUAAUACCGAGAAGCUUUGGCUUUUUAAACUGUCCUUUGUCUGGGGCUGGGGGGAGCUCUAAUUUGUUUGAAACUAUUCAUUUGCAUCUAUACUUUUCUAGGGGUUUUUUUCUGAACUUUGAAUGAGACACUGACUUGUGCAACUAGAUAGCCUAAAGUAGAAGACAACGUACUCCAUUUCAAAAGGAAGAAUGGAGGACCAAGUUGAAUGUGCACUGUUCCAAAGUUAAUGGUUGCACAAUGUAUCUAACUGCAUUAUUAUGGUAGUCUCAGCAACAUUUGAGCUGUUCAGAACUCUUUGGGAAGUAGAUCAGUUCUGAGGCAU